rnacentral:rRNA from 1 species
CAUGCCGCGUGUGUGAAGACGGCCCUAUGGGUUGUAAACUUCUUUUGUAAGGGAAUAAAAAAAGGUACGUGUACUUUAUUGCAUGUACUUUACGAAUAAGGAUCGGCUAACUCCGUGCCAGCAGCCGCGGUAAUAAUCGUCUAACGGCACGCG